GUCACUGCUGGUUCCGAAAAAACAAAAAAGGCACCAACCAAUUCGCAAACUACUGGCUUCAAAACAGCAGUUCAGAAACCGAUGGAUUGUUCCUCCAUCCACUAAAUAUAUAAAGUCUAUGAUUGUAACACCAGAAUACAGCGGGUUGACACACGGCGCCCCUGGUUAUACAUAAGAAAAAGUUGUGACAUAAGGAUCCGGGCUCUCAGUCAUACAGUUUCAGCAAAAGGUGUUUAAUUUUUCAAUUAAAGGGGCAAGUGCGUAGCUGUUUCCUUACUUUAUUUUCAUCAGUAUGGUCCUCUGGAGCAAAAAGCACACCCACUGUGCACAUACAUGUACUCAUACAUGAGGGCUUACUUUAUUUGUGUUUGCCCUUGACAGCAACAUGGUGUGCCCACACUGCCAUCCAAGCCCACAUGCAUUGAGUACAGUAGUGCUGGCUCGGGGCAUCUUUAUCUCAUUGUGUGAUGGGUUAUUUAUAGUGAGUCAGGCAUUGAGCCAGAUGUGUACCUUCAGUGCACUGCUCUAUCCUCCAGCACGAAUACACAUGCUUGGCUGCCCCUCCUCCUCCUCCUCCUCCUCCUUCUCCUCCUCCUCCUCCUCAUACACACAUCACCCACUGAGAGCAGCUGUCACAAAACAUAUUGGGCCUUAACACCAGGGGUACUCCAUCAUGCAAGGUCAGGGGAUAGAUUUAACCAGAGGGGGGCAAAGGAACGAGUUAACACAGGACAAGUUCUAACAGACAAAAAAAAAAAGAAAAGUCGAUCAAAUUAUGACUGACGCACAGCAUCUCCCCCCAUGAUGCCUCUUUAUUAUUUGCUCUGACUUCCAAUUCAUAUCCUCAAUUCCCAUUCAAGCCACAAGACAUAGAAAUAUUAACUGACAGAGGAAAACAUGAGGGGUAGAGGGACAGGAACGAAUGAGCAAUGGAGGGAAAUGCAACAAAAAAGAUUACUUGAAUGGCAAAAUUCCACAAAUACCACAUACUAUGAGCACCCACAGAGACUGGAAUAGAAAGAGAGCUGUUGAAAGGAAAGAAAAAAUAGUGAAACAUGCAGUUGGGUAAAAUAAGAUGGAAGUUGGGGCAAUAACAGACUGAGGAAACAGUGAGAGGUCUGUUGAUCACCUCUGGCUACACUUCCCCUGCUCAUAAAAUUAGUAGCAAAUAAACUCUGCUGCCUUUUAGCGAGCCUGGAAGGUAUGUCUACAGCCAAUGCACAUCAGUUCAUAUCGGGGGGAAAAAAAUUCAACUAAUGAGCAUCAGUUUGUAAAGUUUCUUUUUCUUGCAAAUUUAUGAAGAUGGCAAAUUAUUUCAGUCAGAGUUUUUAAUUGGCUGCCAUCAAUCACUGUCAAUAAAUACUAGUCAUGCUUUUUAUACUGAGGAGUCUGUUAAUUCAUAUGCAAGUUAUUAAAUGUGCAUAUAUCUAUCUCAGCCAAAGAGGUGAUCAUUCCAGUUUGUCUGUCAGCAGGGUUACAUAAUAAUUGCUGCAGUGAUUUUCAAGAUGCUUGGUUGAAGUGUAGAACAUGGGUUAAGUAUGAAGCCUUUCGUUUUAGAGCAGAUCAAUAGAGAGGCGCUGAGGCUGGUGCGGUUAGCGCUUUCUUUAAUAUCGAAUAACUGGUAAGAGUUAAAUUAAAAUAAAUAGAUGAAUUAACCACCAAGUGGGACCAAAUGAUGAAUGACGAAUUACACAUUUUGUUACCAUGGUCACAGUCAAUAACCUAGCCACGGCACAAAUUGACAAAAAGGCCUAAUAUAGGUCAUAAUUUGUGGUUUAAUAACAUUGUGGAACAUGAAGAAGAGUUGUCUAUUAGCCUUGUUGGCUCUUUGAGUGCCCUUGUAGUUUAUUAUUUGAUUUCACAGAAUAAUGUAAGUGAAGCUAAAUAUACAGUGUGUACUAUUAUGCAUGAAUUAUGUGAAAAAACAGUGAGCAGUUACUAUGUCUCCACCGAGUUAAUGUAUCUCAGUUUAAGCAGCCAGUUGUAAAUGUGUCUGUCAGUGUUGUUGUCAGGCUGGGAUUCACCUCAACCAUCUGGAGACUUGGACUCUAAUCUGCCCCUCUAAUUAUCAGUAAUCUGAACAGUCAGGCUUGUCCUUGGUGCUGCAGUCCUGGGCGUGUUUGGCUGACGGCGGCGACAGGGGGAGAAUUUGGAAAGUAUAUGUAGCAGUGGGGCUGUAGCAGGAGCCUUGGGGUGCCAGGAUGGGCUUAAGGUGCUUAAACAGGCCAGGUAUGGGAGAUGUGAGCCAAAAAACAGCUCAGGGUGUUUAAAGCGGGGGAAGAUAAGAAGUGGAGCAGGUGCAUCAGUGGGUGAAUCAGUGGGACAUUUACAUGAGAUUCAUAUAGGUUCAGUCUAUCCACAAAAAAAAAAAAAAUAAAAAUCUAAUCAUAUCUUUUUUUUCCACAGUUGAAAGUGUUCAAAAUCUAGUUAGUUAUUGAUGACUGCUUAGGGGUUCAUUUCCAGUACUUUCUUGCAUCUCUUUGCCUUUUUUGCUUGGCACCAGCUCCCCAGUCUCCUACUGUUUACGUCACGCAUUUCCUCUACAUUAUGUAGAUUGACAGAUUUGUAAUUGCUCAGAGACUUGUGAGUACACUCCAGCGAUUUUGAUAGGGGUGACUGUGUUUGAGCCCCAGCAUGUAACAGCAGUCACAAAAAUAUAGUAUUAGCAUGUCUGAUUACGCCCCCGAAUGCAUUUGCUCUCACUGCAAUCAGGGAGAAAAGACAAUGAAUGAGAAGUCUGUAGGUGGUAGGGCCCAGUCUGUCAUUAGGCGCCGUACAGAUCAUUUCACAAAACAGAUGUUGGAUAUCUGAGCUCAAUGCUAGGUAAUUAGAUAUAAAACAUGCUGUAAUUGCCAAAACUAUGUAGCGUGAUCUCCCUUUAGAACUGCAGGAUAGAGCCAUAUGUACAAAUCUGGAUAAAAAGCCUUCUCAGUGAAAGCACAUUACUAUGCAUUUGUGUGGCUUUGGUUCCUGCACAUCAUUGUGGCGUUACCAUGGAGAUGAUGCUGUGCUCUUGUUUGCCAGUCUUCCCGUCCUCAGGUCACAACACCUGUCAGGGACCAGGGUGAAUUUUAAAACGUGUCCGCUGACUGACCUGGACACAUUCAAGAUAAUUUAGACUUAGCUGGUAGAUAUAUUUUCAUGGAAUGCGAUUCAUUUUUCAGACAUUGUUGAGUAUCCAUUACAAAAGCAGCUGUUUUAAUUCACUGUUGAUGAUUGCAGAGAGCAGUAUUUGCAUUAAUAAUGAGCCAUACUCAUAUACAAGUGUCUAUUUCAGUCUCAGUGUUUUAUUUAUCCAGCAUCUGACAAGAUAUGACAGUGAAAUACAAAAGAUUUGAGUAGGAUGAAAAAUGGCUUAACAAAACCGUGGAGGAGACAUUUUGUGACAAAGAGGUGCUAAACCCUGGCAACAGUGACACAUUAGUGUUGCUAAUAGCAGUAAUGAUGACAACGGUGGGAUGUGUCACUGAGCAGAUGGGAGACACUAAGAGAGAGGAGAGAGGAUGUGUGAGAAAGUGCUUUGGCUUUUGCAUGUAUCCCUGGAGAAGUGGCCCGGGGAAAAGGGUUGAGUGCUCUCUUUCACUGUUCUCCUCCAUAAGGCUUAGUGGUGGAAGGAAGGAUGGAGCCCAUCCCCCAGUGGAUUAUUGCUCCAACACUGCUAAGCCCCCAUACUCCCACGUCCAAGCGGCCCUUAAACACAUGUAUUCAUUAUGAGACAUUGAAUGCACAUAAACACACAGUGGAGAGCAGGUUUCUGCCAACCCCUCCUUCCACUGCAUCUUCUUUCUUUCAGUCCUUCUUUCAAAUGCCAAUAAAUGCUCAGAAUAUAGCAACACACAUACAUCUACCCCCACAUACAUGUAUAAGUACCAACACCUACAUGUGCAGUAUGUAAACAUGUGCUAACGCAUGCAUGCACAAAUAUACAGGAUGACACUUUCGCACACCAAUACAAGGAUGUGAACUCUGUCACACAUGAACACAUACAGUACAUUCAGGUAUUCACAAAGCCACGGCACCAGGAGAAUAUUCAGUGCCGCCUCCAUUUGACACAAGCAGCUUUUCCGGUUAUAUAAGAUGGGUUACCGUGACGAUGAACGCCGUUGAAUGAAAGAGCACAGGCCUUGCGUUUCUCUAUACACAUAUGUGUUUGGGUUGUGUGUCUAAUGUUCCUUUGUUCCUGCGUAUCUUUACAUAGGUAUGUUUAGGACGCUGUGGGAGAGAAUUAAGAGUUCAUAUAUUUUAGAUGCUGUAACUGUGAGUACACCGAGCAGCAGCUUCACACGGUGAAUGAUUUAAUACUGUGUGACCAAACAGUCUAUUAGAUGCCACAGUGCAUGAAAAAUAUGGAUGCAGUGCUGUCAUUACCACUUAAGUUGGUCAAAUGCUGUGUCCAAACUUGAAUAAAUUCAGAAAUGUUUAUGUGUCGGGGGUUUUUCUGUCCACUGAGCAUUUUGUUAUUGUUUUCCAAAAGUUCAGCAUCCUUUCUGCAAGACACGCUAAUAAGCAAAAGCUCAGAUCUCCUCUUUUGGAUCUUUGCAGCCGGCAGCUUUGCACGCCUGAGAAUGUAUAGCAAUUCUGAUAAUAGGAAUAAUAAUAGGAUUUGAGAACAGCUUUGUUUUCCCAAUCCACAGUUCUCGGUGGUCAAAACCCCAGGAUUACUGUGCUGUGGAGUAGAAUGGAGAAAAGAAAAGAAAAAGAUGCGUCUUGAAAUGUAUCGCUUUAGAAUGGACAUGGGGUUAGUUUGGAGAGACGUGUUGCGGCAAAGAGCCAAAAACAAGGCCGUGUGACUGCAUGAAAGUUAAAGGAAGGAGAGGCAGGCUGACAACCUGCUCGAUGGUGUCUAAAAAAUGGGUGGUUUGUAAAGACAGAGGAGGCAAUUGUAAACGGUUGAUCGGCUUUUAAGUAAGAGAUACAGAAUACAUGUGCCGUUGCAGCUGCUCUGCCUUGUCCUCUGUCCUCUCACAGAGAUGAGAUGAAAAACCAACAUACCAUGAAAAAUGACGUGUCAAGCUUCAGUCACAAGGUUUCAUGCUAUCUAUUCAGUCUCAGUACGCCUUCGAGGUCAAUGUAAGCAGAGGUAAAAGGGUAAUUCUGAAAUUAAAUUCACCUAUCCCCCCCCUCUCCUUAUCUCUAAUUUCCGUUUCUCUCCUGCUGAGCUUUGUCUCUGCUAAUUUCUGUUUGCUCCCACACUGCCAGCAUGUGUUUACUUUCGUACUCUUGGAGACACAAAAAGCUCAAAGCUGAGGUACUUGUUUUUGUGCCAGCCAUACUGAAACACUUUGAUAAGGCUAAAAAAAAAAAAAAAAAAAAAGAAAGAAAAGAAAGCAGAAUGUAAUGAAAUGCAAA